AGAACCCUGGAAAUUGACAAGCAAAAUACAAAGUCUUUGCAAUACGAACUUUAAACUCUUACAAAAGAGUACAAAUACAAAAUAAACCUAUUUUACAACCACAAGCCAAGUUAUGAAACUGGAGUUCUUUUGCUGGUGGUCUGAGCAUUUGUGCAAGUGCUUUCUAUAGCGGUAACAUAUAAGGAGCUCUGCCGAGACGGCAUUCCCCGCCAAUAAAUUCCGGGGAUGCGUAAAAAAGGAAAUCCACCACGCAUAUUGGUAACCCUGACAAUCAAACGUUUGUUGCCAUAUUGUCGCAGACGCACGUGACGCCCAGAAGGAUGUAUACACAGGAUACAUGACUGGAGGGGUGACAGGGAAAGCAUUGCCCAGUGACGCGUGUCCUGUGCAUAAUCGGGAUUUGCAUGCAUCAACUGGAACUGUAACGGCAUUAUGGCCCAAGGAAAUACAUCAUCAAAAGAAGUCGGACCAGACUGGUCUGGACCGUCUUUUGGGAGAUACACUGGAAAUAAUAACUCCCAACCCUCAUAAUAAUGAACAAAAUAUUUAUUGGAGUUAUCGAAAGCCACAUAAAAUUGAAUUGGAACUUAAGUAAUGGAAGACGUACUUAAUUUCCCUGGUGUAACCCAACGAAUCGGAAGUCCCGGUAGCAACCACCUUUCUGAAGGAUGCGUUGCAGGUCCUUUGAUGCGUGAACUGUUUGCGGCAAGUAAGGCGAGUCCUGGGGUGGGAAUCCUGGACGCCUCGUCCUCAUCCUCCGGUGACAGCCGGCAACCAACCUUGACAACCGAAAGUUGCAUGCGCUGCACAUUGCCCCUUAGCCGAACCCCAGCGCGUGUCCUUCUAAUAAGCCUAAUGCAUGGGAAACGGGAAGUAUGGGGGAAGGGCCAGGAGGUCACACCAGAGAGCUGACAAUAUUGGUAAUAUUUUAAAGUGGACCCGAGCACACGACCCAGCCGCCGCUUGUUGUCAUAAAGAGACCUUUAAUUAAAUUCAUAUUUGGACACACAA